UGUUUCGCAAAUGUAUAAAAGAGCAUUUUACGUGUGUGGCAAAGAUCUCAUUUGUCCAUAGCAGAGAGAGUUGCCAUCUCUUCCGUGGGAAACAUUUUGCCAUUUCCGAUAGAAGGGCCACACGUUUUUUGUUUUUUCUGCUUGCACUUGGCUGUGUACAUUUGCAGCAUAAGCUGUGUUUCUGCUUUAUCGGUCAACCUUGACUGUUUUUAAUAUGGGAGUAGAAGAGACUGUAUGCCUCCAAGCUAUUUGCUUUAGUCAUGGAACCCUGAUUUUUCAAUUACUAAUGGGCUUUUUUAAAUGGAGAAUCGGUUGAAAGCUUGUGUUAAAUGCUCCCAAGGUCAGCAAGUUCAGCACAUGGUGGGGGUGAUGUAAUUACCUUUUUAAAUUAUUAUAUAUUUCCUAACAAGAUAAUAUUUUUUAGUCUCCAACCCUAGCAAUAGGCCAUGUAUUAUGGCAAGAGCCCCAAACCCUGGUCCUGGAGAGCAAUGAGACCUGCUAGAUAUGCUUUCACCUUAAAAUCAGAAACCAGUUUAGACCCAAGAAACCAGGUGAGGUGAGUUAUCUAUGUCAUCAACUGCUUUAAUUGAUCAAUCAAUUAGAGUAGAAGUAAUUAAUAGUAAUUAAUGAACUAAUUAAUUGAUCAAUUAAUUAGAAUACUAACCAGCUGACCCUGUGGCAGUCCAGGAUUAGGGUGUGGAACGCCUGUAGUCAGUUUUCACCUCUUUAUGAAGUGGCAGACAGAAAGACAAGAAGCAAGCAGAGGGAAUAGCAAACGGAAGACAAUCAGCACAGGAUCAGGGGGAAAACGCCCAGACGUCCCGAAGUCUCUCACCCUCCUUCAGGAGGAUGGCUUUAAAAGGGCCUCAUUUUCCCGCCUUCCUGCUGCCAGGGGAGUCCAGGCAGACCGUCCAGGCAGCUGUCGAUGGAGACAGAGUAACUCUGUGAAUAAAACCCCCACCUCAGAAAAAGUAAACAAGGACAACGGGACAGGGGAGACCUACAAUCCCAGGCUCAGUUAUUCACUGUGAACAAUGUUGAGCUACACCAUGCCGCUAGCAUGAAGCAGCAGAUACUGCCCUUGUCCCUUGUGCGUGCCGCAACUAUAGCGUGGCUCACAUGCUGGUGCGGCAUAAAUCAUUUCUCAGGAUUUGCUGUUCUCACCUCUCAGAACAGUGUUUUGAUUCAUUGGAGUUUUGAAGGUUAGGGGGUAAACUAGUGAAAUCUGAUAUACAACACAGCCACAAUGCAAUGUAUAAAAUCUUUUGUGUUUAAAUGGCAUCAGGAGCUGCCCUAAAACAUUACCAGCAGUCUGCCACACAAGAACUACGUAAUAAAUAUAUAACCAGAAGAAUGUAUCAUUAUUUGAAAAUGGGAAAGUAUUUUGCUGCAUUUUUAGACUAUACACAAUGGUGGACAUUUGUUGGAAAGCCAUGCAAACAUUUCCUGAGCUGACCAUUCAUAAUUUUCACAUAAAUUUGCUGUAUACUUCUCAUCUUGAGGGUUAAACUUUUUUAAAACAGUACCUGUGAUCAGCCAUUUUGGAGUGUGUCACAGGACAUGAACUGAAAGUUACUCUGAACUACUCUGAAUUUCAACUACAUUUUCUAGGCUCUCCCAAGGAAAGUAUGGCUCACUGUAAAUCAAGUGCUGUGGCAUGAGACAGAAAAUUCAAAGGGUUCUCAUGAAGGCCUGUCUUGCCCACUUUCUGUGUGUUGCAAAGAUGGAUUGUAGGCAAUGAUCCUGCAAUAGACUGAUAUCCUUUCGAGGAAGUGUUAGUGCAUGUCAAUCUGCUUCAGACCACAGAAGGUUAAGAGAAGUUUAAUUUCUGCGGGCUAUUUAUACACAGACCGAAUAGCCAUAGAUAUUUGGUUCUAUUGUACUCCCAUGGGGUUAAUAAAAUAUACACUGGCUAAUGGCAUUCUAAACAUUCAUUUGGAGAUUCUACAUGGUAGUUCAUUGUACGAUCCUUGAUUUACCCACAGGCUGUUACUAGUCAUUUUGCCAUAACUAUAACUGGACACGUUGUUCAUAUUAAUGGUGCUUCUGCAGCUGUGAUAACAAAUGAGGAAUUACCUUGUCUGUCAGGGAUCACUUUCCCAAUUUCAUUUGACAUCAUGUUACA